UUUUAUUGUUUGGUAAAUAUUUAUAUUAUCAGUUACGUAUUGUUUUCUAUUUUUAGAUAUGCCUCGCGUGUACGUAUCAAAGAGUGCAAAGCCUUAUAAGAGAUAUGAUCCCUUAAUAUUAAAAACAGCAUUAAAAGCCUAUGAACUUGGGAAUAAGUCUUUAGUUGAAAUAGCUAAGCAAUUUAAUAUAAGUAGAAUAUAUAGAAGAUGGGGCUGUAUGGUGUGAUACUUUGGCCUUUCCUGUUGGAAAAAUGCAACUACUACCAACUGCCACUCAAAAAUUACCUACCCUACAUAGGUACACAUUUUUGUAAGAUAAAUGAUAAUGAUUACGAACAUCAAUGUGGAAUAACUGUCAUUUCUUCAAACUAUGUAAUAUUCUUCAAUCUACGUCAUUGGAUCCGUGGUCACAGGAACGAAGCAA